GUCGAACGAUGAAGCUGGAGCUUGCUCCGGUGGAUUAGUGGCGAACGGGUGAGUAACACGUGAGCAAUCUGCCCUUGACUCUGGGAUAACUGCGGGAAACUGUAGCUAAUACCGGAUACGACCCUUGGAGGCAUCUCUGGGGGUGGAAAGAAUUUCGGUCAAGGAUGAGCUCGCGGCCUAUCAGCUAGUUGGUGAGGUAAUGGCUCACCAAGGCGACGACGGGUAGCCGGCCUGAGAGGGUGACCGGCCACACUGGGACUGAGACACGGCCCAGACUCCUACGGGAGGCAGCAGUGGGGAAUAUUGCACAAUGGGCGAAAGCCUGAUGCAGCAACGCCGCGUGAGGGAUGAAGGCCUUCGGGUUGUAAACCUCUUUUAGCAGGGAAGAAGCGAAAGUGACGGUACCUGCAGAAAAAGCACCGGCUAACUACGUGCCAGCAGCCGCGGUAAUACGUAGGGUGCAAGCGUUGUCCGGAAUUAUUGGGCGUAAAGAGCUCGUAGGCGGUUUGUCGCGUCUGCUGUGAAAAUCCGAGGCUCAACCUCGGACCUGCAGUGGGUACGGGCAAACUAGAGUGCGGUAGGGGAGAUGGGAAUUCCUGGUGUAGCGGUGGAAUGCGCAGAUAUCAGGAGGAACACCAAUGGCGAAGGCACAUCUCUGGGCCGUAACUGACGCUGAGGAGCGAAAGCGUGGGGAGCGAACAGGAUUAGAUACCCUGGUAGUCCACGCCGUAAACGGUGGGUGCUAGUUGUGGGUUCCAUUCCACGGAAUCCGUGACGGAGUUAACACAUUAAGCACCCCGCCUGGGGAGUACGGUCGCAAGACUAAAACUCAAAGGAAUUGACGGGGACCCGCACAAGCGGUGGAUGAUGUGGUUUAAUUCGAUGCAACGCGAAAAACCUUACCCACCUUUGACAUGUACGGAAUUCGCCAGAGAUGGCUUAGUGCUCGAAAGAGAGCCGUAACACAGUGCUGCAU
rnacentral:rRNA from 1 species